rnacentral:rRNA from 1 species
AGUGGGGAAUUUUGGACAAUGGGCGCAAGCCUGAUCCAGCCAUGCCGCGUGCAGGAUGAAGGCCUUCGGGUUGUAAACUGCUUUUGUACGGAACGAAAAAGCUCUCUCUAAUACAGGGGGUGAAUGACGGUACCGUAAGAAUAAGCACCGGCUAACUACGUGCCAGCAGCCGCGGUAAUACGUAGGGUGCAAGCGUUAAUCGGAAUUACUGGGCGUAAAGCGUGCGCAGGCGGUUAUGUAAGACAGAGGUGAAAUCCCCGGGCUCAACCUGGGAACUGCAUUUGUGACUGCAUCGCUGGAGUGCGGCAGAGGGGGAUGGAAUUCCGCGUGUAGCAGUGAAAUGCGUAGAUAUGCGGAGGAACACCGAUGGCGAAGGCAAUCCCCUGGGCCUGCACUGACGCUCAUGCACGAAAGCGUGGGGAGCAAA